GACGAACGCUGGCGGCGUGCUUAACACAUGCAAGUCGAACGGAAAGGCCCUGCUUUUGUGGGUUUCUCGAGUGGCGAACGGGUGAGUAACACGUGAGUAACCUGCCCUUUACUUUGGGAUAACUUCAGGAAACUGGGGCUAAUACCGGAUAGGAUCUCCUGCUGCAUGUUGGGGUUUGGAAAUUUUCGGCGGUUGGGGAUGGACUCGCGGCUUAUCAGCUUGUUGGUUGGGUAGUGGCUUACCAAGGUUUUGACGGGUAGCCGGCCUGAGAGGGUGACCGGCCACAUUGGGACUGAGAUACGGACCAGACUCCUACGGGAGGCAGCAGUGGGGAAUAUUGCACAAUGGGCGGAAGCCUGAUGCAGCAACGCAGCGUGCGGGAUGACGGCCUUCGGGUUGUAAACCGAUUUCGCCUGUGACGAAGCGUGAGUGACGGUAAUGGGUAAAGAAGCACCGGCUAACUACGUG
rnacentral:rRNA from 1 species